GGACUUUGGUUUUGCUGGCCGCUUCCAGGCAUAUAAAAUGUUGACAUAGAUCUUCCUUUUGCUGUUAGGUUUGCCCCUGAUUCUAUGGAGCUGCUUUUUAGGUCUUUAAGUCAAAUCCAGUCUUUUGCAUUUUAUGUGACCCGUCUACUUUAACACGUAGGUGACAACUCUUUCGCUUGGGCCUUCGAAGGGUAGGAAGGGUCAGGGUGAUGUGACGGCGGCCUUCCUCUGCUUGGUGUUUUGGGACUGGACUGGGAGGGGCAGCUGGAGUAGGCGGCGGCGGCGGCGGCCUCCUCCUCCUCUACCUGAAGGUCCAGCAGCAGGAGCGGCCUCCGUGGAGGCUCUUCGAGAGCGGGGAGCAGAGGUUCCUGCAAGGGUUCCGGGAGGAGGGGCAGCGGUUGGCGGGGCGCUAGAGGAUGCACGAGCUAGAGGAGCUCAGGUCGCUGGAGUUCCUGUAGUAGCACCACCACCUCCCCGUUCUCCGCCGGGCGGAGCAGCCGCGCACCUAGAGAUCACGAAUGGACCUGGCGGAGCAGCACCUCCAUCAACGUCAAUGACUCCUGUAACCUUGACGACCACGUAAUGCUCGAUAAAGUUUCUCUGACCAGCGUUUACUACAAAACCACUAAUCGCCGCUGGAUCAUUGACUACAUGAAGGACCCCGACAACGACGAUGGGUAUCUUCUUUACCACGUCGACAAUGACGAAAUGAUACAAGACAAGGACAAUCACCAGGAAGUCUACGACGAAGAAGCCCUCCCUUUCUAUUCCGAUUUUUUGGUACAGCUGACUUGUAUCAACCCGAUCUGUAUUGUUCUGUUAAGAACAACGUACAACAUAGUCCUUGACUACAACUUUUCCUACAAGCUCAAAUAUUCUCUUUUUAAGCUCGACAUCCAGUCUACCUUUAAGCUUCACUGGACUACCUACGAGUAGAAAUACGGAAAUUAUCCUGUUGUAACGUCCUACAUGACCUUGUCUUUCUUUGUAUGGCAUCGUAGUCUGAACUUCAUGAGGGUAUAAAUCACUUCUCGGUCAACUCCAGUCGAGGUAGUCCGCCACUUCCUUGUUAUCAACUACUUUGACCCUUACAACAUCAAGGCGGGUCGUCGUUAAAUGUCACGAACAGUGUUGUAGCGCGUUAACGUGGUAGACGAAAGUUCGUUCUAAAUAAUGGUUCAAGUCCGCCGCCUUGUGUAUCCACGACACAAAUAUAACGAUCAUUUUUGUUCAUGACAGUGGCAAACUUGAGGUAAGUCCGCAUGACACUAUAGUUAGCUCUACAAUAUCCCCUUCGAUCAGUGGAUAGACCAAUAAGGAAGAGAAGUGUAUUAUUGUAGUAGGUGGGUAGCACACACGAACCUAGCUUCUGAUGUCAGCCCGGUGUCACGUACGAACGACUCCCAAGUGUCAAUCCACUGUUUACACCACAGUUCGCUAGACACUAACCGGCAGUAACAGCAUAGCCAAGCUUACACUUCUAACAGUUGAGACAACAGUACUUGGUACACCAAUAACUUCUACCGACAGUGUAGGUUCCAAGACAACAUACAUUAUUACACGUUGAAGUUCUCGCACGGCAAGACUUUCUAACGGUCCAACCUCGACCAAUAUGACACUGAUGACCAUCACUAGUGUUCAGUCUUAGGGACCGCUCUUUCAUCUCGUGUAAAACUAACAAAACGCCACCUGAACUCGUGUACACGCAUAGUCUACGUGGGGAUCCUCAUUUCUUUCCCCUAUGUCAAGACAAAACUCUAAAGAAAAGAACGUCAAAGAGCAAACUCUAUACUAUCGUCUUAAAACCAAGGUCAUUGUAAGACUUUUAAAUAGCACAAGACUUACACUUGACGUCAAUCACUCUACCAAAGUACCUCACCGAGGAAAAAUAGAGCUCUACCUAAGUACCGUGCAGAACCUAGUUACCGAACGAACCUAGUUAGUAAGAUGGACGACAGUUUUUCAUUUCUUUUUCCCAUCAGUACGUUAGACAAAGCGGAUGUACACCAACGACGGAACUCGACCAAACGCUCAUUACGAAGGGCGCGAUUUACAAACAAAAGGCUUACCGGUUUUGGCACAAUUAACUUUGAUGGGGGUUUCAUAUUCCUCAUCAUAAUUACACGUGAAAGCCUGUCCCUAGUUUACUGUGUUGUUAAUAUACAGGGUAUAGAAUACCUCCACAAAACCAAGCACAAAAAUCGGCAGUAGCGUAACACCUCCGUGGACUUUUGCUGUGUGUGCAAACCAAAUCAACCAGACAUUUGUCCAUGGCGUAUUAGUU
rnacentral:rRNA from 1 species